rnacentral:lncRNA from 1 species
CCAACAGCCCUGGGAAGAAGUGUGUGACAACGGUUCCAAUGCUUUGUGAUCUUUCUUCUUCCUUUUUCUUUCUUUCCUUCCUUCCUUCCUUUCCUUUGACAAGAGAUUUUCACAUAUUGAGGUAUAUGGGGUAACUACUUGAGUUCAAAACUGCUUCGGCUUGGACUAGAAAGCCUGUCUUAUGGCCUGUCAAACAUACAUUGUAAUGCAUACUUCCCCUCCUAUGCCCUAUUGGUAACAACACCCUAUUGGUAAUGCCCCAGAUUAGUCCCUUUCCUGGCAUCUUGGUCAUGUUGACCUGCUGAUUUGCAACUGAAUGUCUCUUUGAAAAUGUAUCCUGGGCGUGUUUAAUGUAUCGUCUUUGUUCUAAAAAGAUAUAAGUCUGUACUGAAACUCAUGCUUCUCUGGAACGCCUUCCAAGCCCUUCCCAGGUUAUAAUCCUCACUUUGGCUCAUAAUAAACUCACCCCAAUUUUGAUUUAUAGGUUGGUUAUGGAUUAUUUGCAUCAACACUUUCUAACAGAAUUUCUUCAGAUGAGUUAUAUAAGAAGUGGAACAGCUGACGUUUACUGCAUGCUUGCUAUGUUCAGGAACUAUGUGUUUUAGGCACCUGACAAGCAUUUUCUCUUUAAUGUUAUUAUCUCCGAUAUGCAGAUGAGAAAACUGAGGGGCAGAAAGGGAAGUAACUCAAACCAGAUCACCAGUUAGUAAAAUGUAGUCUAGGAUUUAAACCCAGGCAGGCGGACUUCAGUUGACGCUCCUGACUCAUUGCUACCUUGCUUUCCUUUAAUGCAAAAUGAGCAAAAAAAUACCUUCAUUUUUAUAUUGUCCAGCAAAUUGGUAGUAGGCAGAGUUUUUAGGAAAACACAGUUCUCACCUUUUGGGGAUCUCACCAAUAUUAUGGGUGAGCCCUUUCUCUGAACUGGGUGUGGUUUUCAUUUUCAAAGACAGAUCAGCAAAACCAAAAGACAAGCCAAGAAAAGAUCGCCUUGUAGUUCUUUUUAUUUUCCAUCCAGCACAGGGCUAAGUUACCUUCAGAUAUUGUCCACACAGGUUUCAGCCCCUGACUGGCAAGAUCUCUUCCUCCUGUCAAGUGUCUGGACACUGCUGGUCUCUGUUGUUAAGGUCUGAACACACAGGAAGUCUCCUCAACCCACAGCUAAACUCUAUGGACACAAGCGGCAGAAGGUUUCAGAGGUGUGAAGUUUUUGACCCCUCUUACUACUUCCUCUGGGAAGAACUAACAGGCAGUGGCAGCAUGGAAUCAUAACUCAUUGAAUCACAACUCUGUCGUCUCAGUGCUGGCGGGCUCAACAGUUAGGUACCUCGCCAAAUCAAACAGCAGGCAACUUUAACUCCUGGACUGAGAAAUUUCUCACAGAAAUUCUUUAAGCA